AGUAGUUGAUCCUGCUCAGGACGACGCUGGCGCGUGCUAACACAUGCAAGUCGAGCGAAGCACUUUUAAUUUUGUAUUCUUCGGUAUGUAGGAGUUUUUGUUGACUGAGCGGCGGACGGGUGAGUAACGCGUGGGCGAACCUGCCUUACACAGGGGAUAACAGUUAGAAAUGACUGCUAAUACCGCAUAAGACCACAGUGCUGCAUGGUGCAGUGGUAAAAACUCCGGUGGUGUAAGAUGGGCCCGCGUCUGAUUAGGUAGUUGGCGGGGUAACGGCCCACCAAGCCGACGAUCAGUAGCCGACCUGAGAGGGUGACCGGCCACAUUGGGACUGAGACACGGCCCAGACUCCUACGGGAGGCAGCAGUGGGGAAUAUUGCACAAUGGGGGAAACCCUGAUGCAGCGACGCCGCGUGAGCGAUGAAGUAUUUCGGUAUGUAAAGCUCUAUCAGCAGGGAAGAAAAUGGCGGUACCUGACUAAGAAGCCCCGGCUAACUACGUG
rnacentral:rRNA from 1 species